rnacentral:misc_RNA from 1 species
AAGUCGUAACAAGGUAACCGUAGGUGAACCUGCGGUUGGAUCAUUAUCAAAAGAAGUGCUUUAGAGCACCCUUUAACCGCUGGUGGCUAUCUAAACAAUGGCUGCCAGUCAACCUUGUGUGAAUCGUUAUUGUCUCUGGCAGUCUCUGCUUGCGGGUAGCAGGUACUUGUACUUGUUGCUGGCGGCACCUGCCAGUAUAUUUGUUAAACCCCUGUUUUUAAACCCGUCUUAAUCAAAUAUUAAAUUUGAAACAACUUUUGACAACGGAUCUCUUGGCUCUC